rnacentral:rRNA from 1 species
UAGUCCACGCUGUAAACGAUGAUCACUGGGCAUUGGGCUUUCGAGCUUAGUGUCUGAGCGAAAGUAUUAAGUGAUCCACCUGGGGAGUACGGUCGCAAGAUUGAAACUCAAAGGAAUUGACGGGGGCCCGCACAAGCGGAGGAACAUGUGGUUUAAUUCGAUGAUACGCGAGGAACCUUACCUGGGCUUAAAUGUACGGCGACCGGUCUAGAGAUAGACCUUUCUUCGGACGACGUACAAGGUGCUGCAUGGUUGUCGUCAGCUCGUGCCGUGAGGUGUCGGGUUAAGUCCCAUAACGAGCGCAACCCCUAUCUUUAGUUGCUAACAGGUUAAGCUGAGGACUCUAGAGAGACUGCCACCGUAAGGUGAGAGGAAGGUGGGGAUGACGUCAAAUCAGCACGGCCCUUAUGUCCAGGGCUACACACGUGUUACAAUGGUCAGUGCAAAGGGCAGCUACCUGGCGACAGGAUGCUAAUCUCUAAAACUGGUCUCAGUUCGGAUCGGAGU